GACGAACGCUGGCGGCGUGCUUAACACAUGCAAGUCGAACGGAAAGGCCCUGCUUUUGUGGGGUGCUCGAGUGGCGAACGGGUGAGUAACACGUGAGUAACCUGCCCUUGACUUUGGGAUAACUUCAGGAAACUGGGGCUAAUACCGGAUAGGAGCUCCUGCUCCAUGGUGGGGGUUGGAAAGUUUCGGCGGUUGGGGAUGGACUCGCGGCUUAUCAGCUUGUUGGUGGGGUAGUGGCUUACCAAGGCUUUGACGGGUAGCCGGCCUGAGAGGGUGACCGGCCACAUUGGGACUGAGAUACGGCCCAGACUCCUACGGGAGGCAGCAGUGGGGAAUAUUGCACAAUGGGCGGAAGCCUGAUGCAGCAACGCCGCGUGCGGGAUGACGGCCUUCGGGUUGUAAACCGCUUUCGCCUGUGACGAAGCGUGAGUGACGGUAAUGGGUAAAGAAGCACCGGCUAACUACGUG
rnacentral:rRNA from 1 species